rnacentral:rRNA from 1 species
UACGGAGGAUCCAAGCGUUAUCCGGAUUUAUUGGGUUUAAGGGGUGCGCAGGCGGGAGAUUAAGUCGGUGGUGAAAUUUUGCAGCUCAACUGUAAAAGUGCCAUUGAUACUGGUUUUCUAGGAUUUGGUUGUAGUGUGCGGAAUGUGUGGUGUAGCGGUGAAAUGCUUAGAUAUCACACAGAACACCGAUUGCGCAGGCAGCUUACUAAACUACUACUGACGCUCAGGCACGAAGGCGUGGGGAUCAAACAGGAUUAGAUA